UGUUUGGUUCUUCUGCAACAACCUACAAUAUUCAUUCAUCAAACCAUAAUCAUUAUAAUAUUUCUAUAUCUCUAAUUAGAUGUUAAUCGUGUUAACUAAUAAUUUAACUUUUAUAUAUGAGAUGAUCAUUACCAAUACAACAUCCAAUAUAUAUAUCUUCUCUGAUAAUAAUGACACACAUGCUUUGAAGAAGUCAAUUAUAACUUAAUUAUAUAUAUUAUAAUCUUGGUUAGUUUAG
rnacentral:misc_RNA from 1 species